GACGAACGCUGGCGGCGUGCUUAACACAUGCAAGUCGAACGGAAAGGCCUCUUUCGGGUGGUACUCGAGUGGCGAACUGUUGUGUAACACGUGAGUAACCUGCCCUUUACUUUGUGUUAACUUCAGUAAACUGGUGCUAAUACCGGCUAGGAGCUCCUGCUGCAUUGUGGGGGUUGGAAAGUUUCGGCGGUUGGGGAUGGACUCGCGGCUUAUCAGCUUUUUGGUGGGGUAGUGGGUUACCAAGGCUUUGUCGGGUAUCCGGCCUGAGAGGGUGACCGGCCACAGUGGGACUGAGAUACGGCCCAGACUCCUACGGGAGGAAGCAGUGGGGAAUAAUGAACAAGGGGUGGAAGCCUGAUGCAGAAAAGCCGUGGGCGGGAGGACGGCCUUCGGGUUGUAAAACGAUUUCGCUCAUGACGAAGCUUUGUGUGACGGUAGUGGGUAAAGAAGCACCGGCUAACUACGUG
rnacentral:rRNA from 1 species